UACAGAGGUCUCAAGCGUUGUUCGGAAUCACUGGGCGUAAAGGGUGCGUAGGCUGCGUCGUAAGUCAGAUGUGAAAGCUCAGGGCUCAACCCUGAAAUUGCAUCCGAUACUGCGGUGCUCGAGAGCUGAAGAGGAGUCUAGAAUUUUCGGUGUAGCAGUGAAAUGCGUAGAUAUCGAAAGGAAUACCAAAGGCGAAGGCAGGGCUCUGGGCAGCUUCUGACGCUGAUGCACGAAGGCCAGGGUAGCGAACGGG
rnacentral:rRNA from 1 species